rnacentral:rRNA from 1 species
UACGUAGGGUGCAAGUCGUUAAUCGGAAUUACUGGGCGUAAAGCGUGCGCAGGCGGUUGUGCAAGACCGAUGUGAAAUCCCCGGGCUUAACCUGGGAAUGGCAUUGGUGACUGCACGGCUAGAGUGUGUCAGAGGGGGGUAGAAUUCCACGUGUAGCAGUGAAAUGCGUAGAGAUCAGCAGGAACACCAAGGCCGAAGGGACCUACCUGGGCAGUAUCUGACACUCAAGUGCGACAGCGUGGGG